CACCCCUAGGGUUUAAUGAAGGCUGAUUGGUCCCCUACCUCUUAAUUUUCUCCUUAUUAAUAUUAAAAAGUAGACAUUUAUCACACAUUUGCUUGUUUUUUCCUCACAAAUUUGAGGAGGAAGUGGCGACACAAGACUCAAACUUUGCUCUAUAAUGUUAACGACCAUGAGUACUUGUAUUUCUAUUGUCGCUACUACCUACAAAUAUUACUAUGUUUUUACGUACCUUUCAUAUAUAUUAAUAUUUUAAAAAUAAUUAUUCUAAAUUCUAUCAGUGUGGAAACUAUGUGCUCUUAACAUAAAGCUCUGUUUAAAUGUAACAUAUGUAUGAUUUGAAACUAAUUAAUGAUAAUACAUGAAAUAAACAGGAUAUUAAAAUGAAAAGAUAGAUUAAUUUGUGAGUAAAAUGAAAUUUAAACAUAUAAAUACGUCGUAUUAAGAAUACUAAUGUUGUGUUUACACAUGUUUUAGUAGUAACUAUUUCAAUUGGUAAUGUUUUUGCUUAUAUUGAAAAUGUCUUAUUCUUUAAGAGAGUUUUUACUUAUCUUUCUCAUUUCAAGUUUUAAUUUAUAUAUACUAACUAUUUCUUAUUUCGUGUUUAACUAUUGCAAUACAUAAGUAAUAAAUAAACUUUUUUCCUUAUAUUAUUACACCUGUACCAGCCCAAAUUUACCCUAAGCCCAAUACAAGAACCCAAAUAACAAGCCCAAAGUCCCUAGCCCAAAUCUAACCCUAGCCUAGAAAACACAAAUCAGAAAAACAAAAUUUUCAAAUCAGACGCCACUGUCCCUUCGUCCACCUGCCCUCUGACCGGCGCCACAACCUCCACCUGCUCCACCGCUCAACCACUCCUGCAAACACGCAAGAAAUAGUGCAAAACAGUAGAAAAAAUAGAUAAAAAAUACAUUGUAGAUCGACUAUAAAGCCACGAAAAAAACAGAUCUAACGUGGGGGGGUUUUUUUCUUUCUUUCUUUCUUUUUUUCGACAAUUGUAACCCAAAAAAGGAAUUACUAUCAACAAUACAAUAAAAAGAUUUCUCCAAGGUGAUUUCCAAGUUUUGUUUUCUGAUUUCAAUCUUCCAUUUUUAUUUUUAUCACUGUUUUUAUUUUUUAUUUUUAUUUAACGAAAAUAUAAAGAAAAAAGAGAAAAACUCACUGUGACGGAGUUUCAAACGCCGAUCUGGCGCUUCGUCGGCCGUCGUAAACGGUGGUGGUGCGGCGGGCGCAGCGGUGGCGCGGCGGCGCUAUGGCAAUCCAAAGGCCGGCCAUUUUUGGAGAGGAAAGGAGGGAUUUCUGAAAUUUUUUUAAAAGAGGGUCGCUAAAAUGAUGGAUAUCAAAAAAUUUGGGUUUAAAUAACCCCAUAAAACGGCGCCGUUUUGGAUUUAGGGUUCAGAGACCAAAACAACGUCGUUUUGGUCUCUGACCCGCGACCCGACCCGAAUCGCCUAGGAUCCGCGCGUUUUGGACCAGAGGGGUUAUUUGUGCCCCCAGUCCUUCCGCGUUUGAGGCCGUGUACAAUUGGGUCCUAUCCCCUUUUGUUGUUUGUUUUAAUUUUGCCCCAGAUAUCCACUUUUCUUGCGAUUGGGUCCAUAGACCUUCUGCACAGAACAUGCUAGAACGGCGUCGUUUAAUAAGUGAGGGGUUAUUUCCCUCUUUGGUCCUUCGCCCUUUUGCGCCCUUCUGUUUUGGUCCUCCUCUGCGCAUUUUAUUAUAGUCUUAACCUUUAAAUUUUAUUUUUAUCCCAAAUUGGCCCAUUUUGUUAUUUUUUUUGUUUUAUUAACUAAUCUAGCUAUUAUUAUUAUAUUGUCCCAUUAUAUAUAUGUAUAUUUACGUUACCAUUAUUAUACCAUUUAGCUUUACAUUGUUAUUAUUAUAUUUUAUUUAUAUUUACUUAUUUAAAUUUUGAAUAUAUUUGUCCUAUUAUUAUUAUUAUUAUAACUAUUUAUAUAUAUCUUUAUAUCUUAUUAUAUAUUUAUAUCUUAUAUAUAUCUAUAUAUCUUUUUAUAAACAUAUUUUUUAGCUUAUAUACAUGCAUACGUUUUGUUAUACAUACAUACAUAUACAUCUAUAUACAUCAUUCAUUUUUAUAAAAUAUAUGUAUAUACGUCUAUUUUCUUUUAUAUAUAUAUACAUACUUACAUUGUUUUAUUUUACGAUAUACAUACUUAUAUCUUUUAUUUUUAUGUAAUAUAUAUAUGUAUGCACAUACCCAUUUUUUACAUAUAUACAUAUUUAUACUUUUAUAAUAUAUAUAUACAUAUGUACAUACGUGUUUUUAUAUAUAUAUACACAUACUUAUACAUAUUAUUUAUAUUUCAAAAUCUAUAUUGUUCUUACGUAUUUUUUAUAUUUUAUAAUUCAUAUACAUAUGUUUUUUAUAUAUAUCGCAAUACAUAUUAGCAUCGUGUUUAAUUUUACCCGAUAUAUCAAAAUCUGUUUCAAAUAAAUUAAAUCUCGUGUUUAGAUAUUUAAAAAAAAAAAUCGUAUCCUAACUUACUGGGUUUCGAUUUUCACGAUAAAUCUAAAUGCACGAAUCUUUUUAAACUCAAGUUUUAAAUGAUCUCGGGAUUAAAAAAGGUCGCGUUCUAACUUACUGGUCGUGAUCUCAUUUUUAAAUCCGAGAUGGCUAAAAUAUCUUUUAAAUAAGCAUUUUUCAUUCGCAUAUCGGGAAUUUGAGACAUUAUAUUCUAACUUACUGGAUAUGAUUCUCUUUCUCGAUUAACGUGAAAUAUGCUUCUUUUCUCAAAUUUUUGUUUAAUACAAGGAUCGUAUUUUUAAUUUUUCCAAGCUCUCAAUUUUCGACAUCAAGACAUUAGCUAAUCAACUAGGUACCAAUUUUUGGGCGUUACGAGGGUGCUAAUCCUUCCUCGUACGUAACCGACUCCCGAACUCGUUUUCUAAAUUUCGUGGAUCAAAACUGUUGUUUUUAUAAAAUCGAAUCAUUUAUUAAAAAUAACCCUUUUUCAAGGUGACCCAAUCACACCUCAAAAAGGAUUGGUGGCGACUCCCGUUUUUAUUUUCAAAAUCCAAGUCGACCCCGUUUUCAUCCAAAAAAAUGGUGUCAACAGCUUGGCGACUCCACUGGGGACACCGAUAAGAGGGUCAAGCCACGUGGUGAUUACUUUUUGUCUUUUGUCAAAAAUUGAAAAUUCGGUUUAAAAUUACGAUCCUUUCAUCGCAUUUUAUCUGUCUUUAUCAUAAUCAUCAUCAUUGGGGUUUAUAAUUGCUCUGUUUGUUUAAAUUUUGGUAUCUUUCCGCAUUGCAUUGCGUGACCGUUGGUCACACCUUUUUAGGUGGGAGUGAGAAGCUACGCCUUCGUGAGGUUUUCACCUCCGCAUGGGAUAGUGAAUCGCUUUCGGGAUAUAUCCGUACCUAUGUCUUCGUGAGAUUUUCAUCUCCGCAUGGCUAUAGGGAAAUGUAUCCCCCUGAAUCGAACUUGGUCCGUAUGAGCCUAUAAUGGGUGAGGAUCGAGGAAUUUGCUGAUUCAGGUACCCUACUUUAGAACCAAACCACAUGUAAUGAGCCAUAGGAACCGACCUAGGUAGAGCUACUCCAAAUUUUUAGUGCUUACCUAAAUGAAUGUUGUAUUUAUUUGUCGCUUAUUUUAAAUCUUAUUCUGUGUUUAAUGCUAAUUUACUUUGUUUGUGAUUGCAUGGCAUCUUCAUUCUAAAAGAGGUGUCGAUUUACGUUCAGUUUCUUGGUAGAAAGCUUACCAUGGAAAAGGGGUUUGUUGAUAAAGUAGAGGAUAAUGCGGCUGUGCGAAUAUGGGCUGAAACGACACAACGGGAGAAAGGAGAUAGUCUUACCGAAGGGUACGUGUCAGAAUUGUGGGAUUUUACCCGUAUCAUUGUAAUCCAGAAUGACCUUCGAGAAAUGAAAGAAGUCUGGGAUCAAUGGGAUGUCGAGGCCAAGCAGCUGUUCUAUUGUAACUACGGUGACCUACCUUAUCUGCUUAGUGUCAAAGUGGACAAGCAUUUAUUCCGAGCCCUUGCUCAGUUUUGGAAUCCUGCCUACAGUUGUUUCACUUUUGGGAAGGUAGAUUUGACGCCUACUGUGGAGGAGUAUACGACCUUGCUUCGGUGCCCAAAGAUUCAAGUCGACAAGGCUUAUUCCAGAGCUGCUUGUGUCCCUCCGUUGUUAAAGAAAUUAAUGAACAUCACUGGGAUGAGCGAGCAGUGGGUCGCUGCCCGGAUCCAACAGAAGGGCGACAGUAAAUGUGUUCCUUGGAAAAGUUUACGAGAUUUGGUGCUUGUACAUCCUGACUUAAAGAAAAGGGUCGAUGUCUUCGCUUUAGGUAUCUAUGGACUAGUGGUUUUCCCCAAAGCUUUAGGACACAUAGACGAGGCUGUAUCUGAUUUGUUUGAUCGGCUUAGUAAAGGGGUUACACCGGUUCCGGCAAUACUCGCUGAAACUUUUAGAUCCUUGAAUGCGUGUCGAAAAGCAGGGAAGGUUUAUUGGAUGCGCGCAGCUCUUAUUGGCAUGGUUCCAUAGCCACUUCUAGAAAGUCGAAAAGGUCUCUUAUCGGGUAUUCUCUGAUAGCUGCUCCCCUCUAGGAGAAUUGGUGGCCACUCCAAGACGGGAUGAUAUUUCAGAAGAAAAAUGGAUAGAGAUACUCCAGAAUCUCCAGGAUAAAGAUAUUGAAUGGAGGGCUCCUUGGUUAAUGCCUGAUGAGAUAUUGUACCGAUGUGGAGAUUUUGACUGGGUUCCGCUGCUCGGGAUAUGGGGAGCUAUCGGAUAUGCUCCUCUACUCGUAUCAAGACAGUAUAGAUCACGACAAUUCAUACCAGCAACGCAGGUGUUGGCCUAUUGUGAUUUUUCCUAUAGGGAGGACAACUACAAGAAGAAGGUUCGAGAAAUAUCUAGUGCCUGGAACCAGACUCGUCGAAUGAAGAUCUUAGCCGUGGGUCCGACAAUUACCCCCGAGUAUGGUCAGUGGCGUGAUCAAAGGAUCAACGACAACAUCCCGGCGUCAAAUUCAGAAACUGCUUGAUCUUUAGAGGAACACUUACAAGUUUUGCCUUCUGAGAUAGAAAUCAUCAAACAAGAAUUCGAAAAAAGAGUUUAGAAUUGGGGAAGAAGAUAGAACAACUAGAGGAAGAAAAAAUACAGUUAGGACUGGAUGUGAACAUUCAAAGAUUAGAGGCCGAUAAAUUGAGAAAAGGAAAGAACAAAGCAGAAGAAGAUUUGGACAGCCUGAAGACAGAUUACAAGAAGUUGCGCAGGUCGGUAAGAGCUGCUGGCUUGGGUAAAACGCCAGAACAAUGGCGACAAGAAAUUCAGGAGGAAAAGACGAAAGUUAAUCAAUGGGAAAAGAAAUUUCAGGAUACUCGGGCUCGAGAAGUCACCUUGGGAAAGAGUCUACUAGUUUGCUAAGACGAGAAGACGGAGUUGAAGGUCCGGAUAACUGAACUAGAAAGAUCGCUUCACCAGUACUGUAAUCGUAAUGCUACGGUUGAAUUAAGGGCGAGCUUAGACAAAAUUGAAGAAUUAAAAAGACAAAUAGGAGGGCUAGAGAAUGCAUUGCAAAAUAGUGAAAUCCGGAUAGAGCUUCUGGAAGAAAAUAAUGAGCAGUGGCAAAGACAAUUCCGUCGGUCUCAAGAGCAGAUUAGAAAAAAAGAUUAUAUUAUGGGAGAGGCGGUGACUCAAGUGCGCGAAGUAGAUGAUCAUCUGCAAACUCUAGCGGUUCAGGCUAAUCUAUUAAGUUUGAAGUAUGAGUUAGAGUCGGACAGGGGCCGAGAGUUAGCUUGGCUUCUUAGAAAGGUUAAGGCUUUGAGUGUAAGGGCAAAGCCAUAUAUGUAGUCUAUUUUAUGUAAAGAAACUCUUUAUCUAGUAAAGUUUUCUAAUGAAGUUGAAUUAGAAUCAGUGCCUCUUUUUCUUUGCAUUCUUUUCAUGCAUUGCAUCACAUCAUAUGCAUUAAUGACCAUUAAAAACCUAAUCAAAUAAAAUCAUUUCAGUUAACCUGGAAAACCAACAAAGUUACGGCACCCGAGCUAAGACAAAAAUUAUGGACCAAAGGUUGGAGAAGUUAGAGCGACUUCAAAAAGAAAUGCAAGACCAGUUGCAGGCGCAAAUGAAAGAGCAAAUAGAAAAGAUUCAGCGUGACAUGGUGCAAAAGAUGGAGGAGUCCCAAAAUGAUCUGGUGGCUAAGAUGACGCAAUUAUUGAAGGAAGUAGAUAAGGGUAAAGGUCCUGUGAUUGUUAGUGAAGGAGAAAACAAUUGUGAACCACUUUAUCCUCCAGGUUUCACGCCUCCGCAUGCGCAAGUACAGACUGAGCUACAUCCGCGGAGACCCUCUGUGUCGGUUAGGCCCCAGCAGUUCCAAGGCGAUGCUUCAAUCCCAAUGAAUUUUCAACCCGGAGCGGGCUUUAAUCCCGGUGAUAGCCCGAAUAAUAUUGCUGUCCCAGAUCUUGACGAGAUGGUUGAAAAGGACAAGGCGAAGGAGGAAUUUCCAAAACAAUUUGAGGAGAAAUGGAAAUGGAUAGAAGAGAAGUUUAGGGCAAUAGAAAGCAUCGAAAGCUAUGGAAUAGAUGCAAAGGAUCUGAGCUUGGUUCCGGACUUGGUGCUCCCUUACAAAUUUAAGAUGCCGGAAUUCGAGAAAUAUAAUGGGACCAGCUGCCCAGAAGCUCAUAUUACUAUGUUCUGUAGGCGUAUGGCCGGAUACGUCAACAACGACCAACUGCUCAUACACUGCUUUCAAGAUAGCCUCACAGGGGCAGCGUCUAAGUGGUACAAUCAAUUGACGCGUAUCCAGAUUAGUUCUUGGAGGGAUUUAGCACAAGCCUUUAUGAAACAAUACAGUCAUGUAGCUGAUAUGGUCCCUGACAGAAUUACCCUGCAAAAUAUGGAGAAAAAGCCUAAUGAAAGUUUUAGGCAAUACGCACAAAGGUGGAGGGAGGUCGCUAUCCAAGUUCAGCCGCCACUCCUAGAGAAAGAAAUAACGAUGCUCUUCAUCAACACAUUGAAGGCCCCGUUCAUCACCCACAUGUUAGGAAGUGCUUCGAAAAGUUUUUCAGACAUAGUCAUGAGCGGUGAAAUGAUUGAAAGUGCCGUGAGAAGUGGAAAGAUUGAUGCUGGAGAAAAUAAUAGGAGGUCAGACUUAAAGAAGAAGGAAAAUAAGGUGAGCAAUGUGAACACCUACAACAAAUCGAUUACACAGCCAAGAAAGGUGAUUACUAGUCAGCAAGGUUCAUCUAGACAAGAAUCGUAUGUGAAGCAAGGCACUGAGAACCUCCAAUUCACGCCAAUUCCGAUGUCAUAUAAGGAGUUGUAUCAAAGCUUAUUCAACGCACGUAUUGUCGCCCCUCUCUACACGAAACCUCCACAGCCUCCGUACCCCAAAUGGCACGAUGCGAAUGCACAAUGCGAGUAUCAUGCGAGAAAUACGGGGCAUUCCAUAGAAAACUGCAUUGCCUUUAAGAAACUGGUUGAAAGGCUUAUCAGUAUGGGCAUCGUUAAAUUUGAUGAUUCCUCCACUGCGGAAAAUCCAUUACCCAAUCAUAAUUGACGAGUGGAGUGAAUGCAAUGCACAAGCAACUGAAGAAGGGAUCUUAUUAGAUGUUCGCCCUUAUAAACCUGGGAGUGUUCUAAAGAAACCUUUGUAGUAUUUAGAGCUUACUCAGAGUAAUAUUCAAAACACACUUGUUGCUUUCAGCCUAGAGCAACAAGAAGUCUUUUGUGAAAUAGGCUUAUGUCUGAACGUCAUUAUUUUAAUGGAAUGCAUCUUUGCGAUCUUUUGAACUAAUAUUCUUUCAUUGAUUAUUCUUUUAUUCUUCCAUCCAAAUCAUUCUUUCAUUCAUUCAUAAUCAUACUGUGCAGAUAAUUAUUCUUAAAUUCAUAUAUUCUUUAUAUAUUAUUUUGUACCUACAAUAGGUCCCUGGAUAUCAACGACAUGAAUGACACUGCUACAGACUUAGAAUCUCCUUUUGAGCGAGACAUGUGUUUAGAGGGAUCUCACGACUUUGAAGAUGACACAGAUCGUAGCUUAUCUCCAAACUUGUUGAGGAUGGUAGAACAAAAGGAUAAACAGAUCCUACCUCUCAAUGAAUCAUUAGAAAUUGUGAGCUUGAUGAAGACUAGAAUUGACCUGCCCACAGAGACGAAAAAUUCAAAGAUGUCUUUGUAUGAUCAUACCAGGGUAUGCAUCGAUUCUUAUAAUAAAACCUGCACAACAGCACGAUGUCAGAAAUUUACAGUGCGAACGAUGCAAUUCUUUGCCAGGGCAAUGCCUCUAUCGUUGAGUCAGCAUAGCUUUACCCAUUUGAAGUUGAGUUUCCAUCCCUUCAAGAUGUUGUUGGAUUUUAUCCUGAUUAAAGAGGAAGAUCCAAAUUUUUCUGUCGUAGUUGCGUCCCAAAAGGGCUCUAUGAAAGAAAUCUGGUACCAAAUAAGGUUUCUCACAUACAAGAUGAAAGUGGAAGAUCUUAUGUGGAAGACUUUAGAAUAACAUUGAUUCUGGUCGAAAAGCAUGACCAGAACUUGCCUAAUCUCAUAAAUUCAAAAAAAAAUCAAAAAAUCAAAAAAUUAAAAAAAUCAAAGUCAAAAUAGGAAAAAAAAAGAAAAAAUGAAGGACCAAGGUGAAAACCUGUAAAAGGGCACUUUGAUUCAAAAAAAAAAGAGAAGAAGAAGAAGAUGAAAAAAAUAAAAAAAUGAAAAAGUAAAAAUGGAGAGGCUAAGGGGAAAACCCGCAAAGGGCACCUUAGGCCAAAGGGGAUUUGAGUUGAAAACCCGAAAAGGGCGGCUCAAAUAUUGAUCAGAAUGGGGCAUGAAGUGAUCAGAUUGGGGCAUGUGGUGAUCCUGCUAUACCUGAAAGAGUAGGGCGACAUCUUAGGGCAUCGACAAAGUCCUGUAAAUCUCCUAAACACAUGUCAAACUCAGGAAAGUCUUCAUAAAGUUUGUACAGAGAAGUUCAAGCUGCGAUAUCUGGGGCACCUAACCUUCAUACUAUUUAUAUAUUGAAUUUGUUGUUGUUCUUGGAAUACUUCAUUCUUUUUCAAGAUACGUGUUCCAAUCAAUUCCUCUUUUAUUACCCUUGAUAAUUCAUUUAUUUCGAGCUUGCUCUCAAAUCAAUUAUAUUUCAUCCAUCGUUAUAUUCUUUUUUGCAAGUAUGUUGCAUUGGAAUGAUGAUACUUUCACAAUGAAAGUUUUGCAUAUUACUCUAGAAGUUUCUAAAUAAUAUAGGAACCUGAAACAGGACUAUUGUUUAGAACGCACCAAGUUUAAAGGGUGAAAUAUCUAAGAGGGAAUAGUUUAAGUUAAAGGCUAUCUUUUCAGAUUUUGUUGUCCAAACAUUGAUUGAGCAAAAUGACAAGAUGUCGUGUUGGUGGCAAAGCUUCAAUGAACCAACAAGCGAUGUUUACCAGGCAAAAGGAAAAUGUCUUCUAGGAGAAGAAAAUUUUGCAAUUGUGCAUGAGCAUUUGGUAUGGCACCUUGGGAAUGAGGUAAAUGACCAAAGAGUUUCACAUUCAAUAUCAUUGAAUUGCGAUAGGAGAAGAUUGAGAAAAGCCAUACCUUUCUACCAUUGGGUUACAAUGGGAGAUUGAUGGUACAAAUUUUAUGUCCCAGUGGAUUGAACUUUGAUGUGCACAGUGGGGGGCAAUCAGAUUAAGUGUUUCUUUGGAUAUGCUAGCCGAGCAAGAAGGCGGUGCAGCACGUCAGUGAAUAAAGCCUUAAUAAGCUUUUGUGUGAUGAUAAACUAAGCAUUAAGGAAUCAUUUUCAUGACAUUUUGAACACCAUUCACACAUGUCUAGUUAGGAGCAUUUAAUUCAUUUUGAUCAUGACAUCCUAAUCAUUAGUCAUAAUUAGGUUCAUUACACAUGUCAUGUUCUCCAGAGAACAGAUCAGUGAAUAUCGAAAACGAAGCCUUGCCUCCAUCGGUUGUAGUGGAGCUGGUUAAAGAUAGUAAAUUUUACCUUCUUGCAUUAAUAGCGAAGCAGAUCGAAAACGAAGCCUUGCCUCCAUCGGUUGUAGUGGAGCUGGUUAAAGAUAGCAGAUCUUGCCUUCCUGCGUUAACAGUGAAGCAGAUCGGAAACGAAGCCUUGCCUCCAUCGGUUGCAGCGGAGCUGGUUAAAGAUAGCAGAUCUUGCCUUCCUGCAUUAACAGCGAAGCAGAUCGAAAAUGAAGCCUUGCCUCCAUCGGUUGUAGUGGAACUGGUUAAAGAUAGCAGAUCUUGCCUUCCUGCGUUAACAGUGAAGCAGAUCAAAAACGAAGCCUUACAUCCAUCGGUUGCAGCGGAGUUGGUUAAAGAUAGCAGAUCUUGCCUUCCUGCGUUAACAGCGAAACAGAUCGAAAACAAGGCCUUGCCUUCAUCGGUUGUAGUGGAGUAGGUGGAAGAUUGCAGAUUCUGUCACCCUAAGCAGCAGUGGAGCAGAUCAAAGACGGUGAAUCUUAUCUUGCCCAAUAUAGUAGGGAAGUAAAUUUAAACCACCAACCUCACCCCCUGAAGUUACAACGAAGAAGAUUGAAGCUAUAAGUCAGAUCUCUCUAAAGUGCAGUGGAGUGGAUCGAAGCAACAAGACAUAGUGGACUGGAAUAAAGCUACUUGAGGAGAAGCACCAAGAAGUCAAGACUCAGCAAAACUGGGCAAAUUUGGUCUUUCUUGGUCUUUGCUUUGUUCUCGUUACACAACAAUGAGCAAAGAGGGGCAGCUGUACCAGCCCAAAUUUACCCUAAGCCCAAUACAAGAACCCAAAUAACAAGCCCAAAGUCCCUAGCCCAAAUCUAACCCUAGCCUAGAAAACACAAAUCAGAAAAACAAAAUUUUCAAAUCAGACGCCACUAUCCCUUCGUCCACCUGCCCUCUGACCGGCGCCACAACCUCCACCUGCUCCACCGCUCAACCACUCCUCCAAACACGCAAGAAAUAGUGCAAAACAGUAGAAAAAAUAGAUAAAAAAUACAUUGUAGAUCGACUAUAAAGCCACGAAAAAAACAGAUCUAACGUGGGGGGGUUUUUUUUUCUUUCUUUCUUUUUUUCGACGAUUGUAACCCAAAAAAGGAAUUACUAUCAACAAUACAAUAAAAAGAUUUCUCCAAGGUGAUUUCCAAGUUUUGUUUUCUGAUUUCAAUCUUCCAUUUUUAUUUUUAUCACUGUUUUUAUUUUUUAUUUUUAUUUAACGAAAAUAUAAAGAAAAAAGAGAAAAACUCACUGUGAAGGAGUUUCAAACGCCGAUCUGGCACUUCGUCGGCCGUCGUAGACGGUGGUGGUGCGGCGGGCGCAGCGGUGGCGCGGCGGCGCUAUGGCAAUCCAAAGGCCGGCCAUUUUUGGAGAGGAAAGGAGGGAUUUCUGAAUUUUUUUUAAAAGAGGGUGGCUAAAAUAAAGGAUAUCAAAAAAUUUGGGUUUAAAUAACCCCAUAAAACGGCGCCGUUUUGGAUUUAGGGUUCAGAGACCAAAACAACGUCGUUUUGGUCUCUGACCCGCGACCCGACCCGAAUCACCUAGGAUCCGCGCGUUUUGGACCAGAGGGGUUAUUUGUGCCCCCAGUCCUUCCGCGUUUGAGGCCGUGUACAAUUGGGUCCUAUCCCCUUUUGUUGUUUGUUUUAAUUUUGCCCCAGAUAUCCACUUUUCUUGCGAUUGGGUCCAUAGACCUUCUGCACAGAACAUGCUAGAACGGCGUCGUUUAAUAAGUGAGGGGUUAUUUCCCUCUUUGGUCCUUCGCCCUUUUGCGCCCUUCUGUUUUCGUCCUCCUCUGCGCAUUUUAUUAUAGUCUUAACCUUUAAAUUUUAUUUUUAUCCCAAAUUGGCCCAUUUUGUUAUUUUUUUUGUUUUAUUAACUAAUCUAGCUAUUAUUAUUAUAUUGUCCCAUUAUAUAUAUGUAUAUUUACGUUACCAUUAUUAUACCAUUUAGCUUUACAUUGUUAUUAUUAUAUUUUAUUUAUAUUUACUUAUUUAAAUUUUGAAUAUAUUUGUCCUAUUAUUAUUAUUAUAACUAUUUAUAUAUAUCUUUAUAUCUUAUUAUAUAUUUAUAUCUUAUAUAUAUCUAUAUAUCUUUUUAUAAACAUAUUUUUUAGCUUAUAUACAUGCAUACGUUUUGUUAUACAUACAUACAUAUACAUCUAUAUACAUCAUUCAUUUUUUUAAAAUAUAUGUAUAUACGUCUAUUUUCUUUUAUAUAUAUAUACAUACUUACAUUGUUUUAUUUUACGAUAUACAUACUUAUAUCUUUUAUUUUUAUGUAAUAUAUAUAUAUGUAUGCACAUACCCAUUUUUUAUAUAUAUACAUAUUUAUACUUUUAUAAUAUAUAUAUACAUAUGUACAUACGUGUUUUUAUAUAUAUACACAUACUUAUACAUAUUAUUUAUAUUUCAAAAUCUAUAUUGUUCUUACGUAUUUUUUAUAUUUUAUAAUUCAUAUACAUAUGUUUUUUAUAUAUAUCGCAAUACAUAUUAGCAUCGUGUUUAAUUUUACCCGAUAUAUCAAAAUCUGUUUCAAAUAAAUUAAAUCUCGUGUUUAGAUAUUUAAAAAAAAAUCGUAUCCUAACUUACUGGGUUUCGAUUUUCACGAUAAAUCUAAAUGCACGAAUCUUUUUAAACUCAAGUUUUAAAUGAUCUCGGGAUUAAAAAAGGUCGCGUUCUAACUUACUGGUCGUGAUCUCAUUUUUAAAUCCGAGAUGGCUAAAAUAUCUUUUAAAUAAGCAUUUUUCAUUCGCGUAUCGGGAAUUUGAGACAUUAUAUUCUAACUUACUGGAUAUGAUUCUCUUUCUCGAUUAACGUGAAAUAUGCUUCUUUUCUCAAAUUUUUGUUUAAUACAAGGAUCGUAUUUUUAAUUUUUCCAAGCUCUCAAUUUUCGACAUCAAGACAUUAGCUAAUCAACUAGGUACCAAUUUUUGGGCGUUACGAGGGUGCUAAUCCUUCCUCGUACGUAACCGACUCCCGAACUCGUUUUCUAAAUUUCGUGGAUCAAAACUGUUGUUUUUAUAAAAUCGAAUCAUUUAUUAAAAAUAACCCUUUUUCAAGGUGACCCAAUCACACCUCAAAAAGGAUUGGUGGCGACUCCCGUUUUUAUUUUCAAAAUCCAAGUCGACCCCGUUUUCAUCCAAAAAAAUGGUGUCAACAACACAAAUAACCAAACGAGGCCUAAAUGUAUUACAAUUGUUUAUUACAGUAUUGUCAUCAAUCUUUAUUAGUGUCGAGUUGACUUGUAAUAUCAACUCAGUCAAUAACAUUAUCAAUAUAGAUAUAUAAUUUAUAGAAAUAAUAUCGUAUGCACAGUACAAUUAAAAUGUAAAUAACAUGAGUUCAAAUUCUCAUAUCAUUGAAUAAUAUAAUUUAUUUUAAUUACCGAAUGAUAUUUUCACAGUAUCUCUAACUCGUGACACUAACUCAGUCAGGAACUCAAAUAAAAAUAUAGAUUAAUUUAUGUAUAUAAAAACUAUAUACAAAUAUGAAAUGAAUAAGAUUAAAUAAAUAUAAAAUACUCGUCUUUUACAAAUAAAAUUCAUCAUUUAACAAAUGCAAAAUAAGGAAGGAAAAAAAGGACCAUCCCAUAUAUUAAACAACAAGAUCAUUUCAAAAUAUUCAUUUUGAAGUCAAAUAUAUUAAAUAAUUAAAAUUAAUUAGGGUUUGUUAGAUAAAAUUUAAUAAAAUUAAUAUAUAUUUUAAAUUUAUUCAAAAUACAUGAUUUAAUUAUAUGGAUAUAAAAUAAAAUAUUAUACAAGGAAUGCCAAUUUUACGACUUAAAAUAUAACAUUGUCGGCCAUCUCACAUUUAAUAGACACAUAUAAAUAACAAUAAAGGCAAUUUCCGACGAAAUAAUGCAGCUAUCGAAAAAUCUCGGUGCUAUAAUAACUUUAGGUUAAAACUCUGCAGUGUUGACAGAUCAAUUAUAUUGAUAAGAUUGGUCCUAUAAACAGAAAAUGAAAAAGGAUGGUCCAAUUAUAUUUACAUAUCUCUUAACCUAACCUAUAACACAACCAUUAAGAUUUUGUUCCAUCUUUUUAAUUAAUUUCACUUUGAAAAUCUUCCAUUAUAUCCUAACUUUCUUAUAAUUAUAAUUCUCAAACUUUAAUUUAAUUUAGUUGUACAUGUAACGUUUUGAUUUUGAUUUAAAUGUAUAAGUAAAACUUUAAUUUCUUUUUUUGUAAAAAAGAACCACCCUUAAGCGAUUACAUAAAACUUUAAUUUUAAUUCAGCCAUAAUUAAACAUAUGAAUUUACUUUUAUAUUGGAUAAAAUUUAAUUACAUGUGUAUGCAAUAUAUAAACAUAAAAUAAAAUUAUAUCAAUAAUUGUGUUCAUAAUUUGUGAGAAUUGGAUCAAAUCAAAAUUUAAUGUAUAAAAUUGCACAAAAUCAAAGUUCAUGUAUAAAAUUACACAUUAAACUAAAAUUCAAUAUGAAAACCUUCCCUGAAAUGAACUUUUAGUUGAAAAAAUAGUUUUCAAAUCAGUUUAAAAUUGAUGUAUAUGUAUAAUUAUAAUCAAAAUCAAUCAUUACAAUGCACAAAUAAAUAGAUUUAUUAUCCAAAUAUAUCAGGAUGGAAGGGGGACAAACAUAUGAUGAGACUUAGACCAGAAUAAAUCCGAACUAAGAACUCGUAUAUGAAUUUUAUAAAAUGAGACUCAAAAUUGAGAUCCGAAAGUUUCAAUGGCCUAGACUUUUUUAAGGACUGAAUUACUUGUCUAAGCUCAAAGUCCGACAUGAUAUUUGAGAGGGUUUAAAUCAAAAUAUUAGCUGUGAAAUAUGGGUUCGUGAAAUAAAGUUAAGCUUGUUUAAAAUAUGGGUUGAACUUAGACGCUAACGCUCAAAGCCCCAAGCCUAACCUAACCCGAGUCGUUUUUAUUAUUAUAAUAUUUUAUUUUAUUUUAUUUAUAUAUUAUGUAAAUUUUAUCACGUGAAAUUAAAUCUAUAAUAAUAUAUAACACUAUAAUAUUAACAUCAAAAAAAUAUGUUAAAUUGUCUAUAUUUAAAAUUCAAACAGUCAAUCGAAUUUAAUCCUUUUGAGAUUCGUUAUUGCCACUCUUAACAACAUUGUCUCCAAUGUUUGAACUUUUUUUUAUACAAUGCCCACUUCUAAUAAUACAUAUUCAAUAACCUCAGAAAAAAUAAACUUAAGUAUGCCCAAAUCUACAUCCUCCUGGACUUGCCAUACUAGUAUUGAUGUCAACUAAAUAAAGAUACAAUUGACUUCAAUGUUUGAACUUAAAUUCUCUCACCGGUAUUUCAAUUUAUUUUAUCAUUACAUCUAACAUUUAUCAAAUAAUAUUUUAAUAAAAUAAAGAUUAAAACUAUUCAAAAACAGUAUUUAUAGGAAUUUAAUGAAAUUUAAAAACCCAAGAAAAUGUCUUAGCUAAGAAUUCAUAGAUGGCGAAAAGAAGCAUAAGAAUUGAGAGAGCCGCACAUAGAUAAUAAAGAGAUGUAUACAAUACUAUCAAAAUCGACCCACCAAACCAAUAGUUUCUUUUUCUUGAAAAUGGCUCAUCAUUACUUAAUAGUCCCUUGCUUUCUCCAUUCAAAUCUAAGGACCCCAUUCCCAUAAAAUAUGUCCAUCUCCUCAUUUUGAAUACCAUACAAAAUGAGGUGUUAAAUUUAUUUUAUAUAAGAUGUAAUUAUCACAUAAAUAAUGUCCAUAAAAUAUGUAUACGUGUUUAUCAUAUUUGAGCAAAUAUUUAGUACUCGAGCUAAUAGAUAAGAUAUUAAUAUUUUGAGAAUUUAAUUAGGAUGUUUUAGUUAGCUACAUAACUAACAACAAGGACAAUUAGGUUUUUAUGGGCCAAGUGGCCAACUUGGCUCAGCCAUUUUGACCUUGGAUUAUGUUUAAAAUUUUCAAAUCAUUUGAAUUGGAUAGAUCAAAUUAGUCCGAGCCUAAUUUUAUACUUAAAUUUAAUAAAAUAUAAAAUAAAAAAUAAAAAACACAAUUAGAACAACUAUUUUUUUAAUCUCCAAAUAAUCUUCCAACAUAUACACAUCACUCAAGAUUUUAUAUACACCUUCGACCCCAAAAAUUUAAGAAAUUGUUGUUAUGCUCUUUAAAAUUUAUAAAAGUUUUACACAUGCCCCAAAAUUUUGUAAUUUCUCAUUAAGCCUCUUAAUAUUUUUUUUGAAUUUUUUUAGAAGUUCUUAUUAAGCACCUCAAAUUUUCUUUUGAAAAUGUUUAAUUAAAAUUCCUAUUAAGCCCUCUAAAAAAUUGAAAAUUUUAAUUAAAACUUUUAAUUUUUUGAAAAUUUUAAUUAGACCCACGAAACUUAACACCAAGAUCCACUACAUUGUGUAAACUUAUGGUGUCUUAGUUUUAAACUUGUUCAUGCAUAGAAAAUUAUUUUCUAUAUAAAAAAUCUUUAAAAAAAAGCUCUUAUAAUAAUGUAACUUAUUUUUGUAUUUUAAUAUAUAAGAAAAUUUAAAAGACAAAAACAUUCUCUCAUAGUAAUAUAAUUUACUUUGUAAAAACAAUAACUUUUAGUCAUAUUCCAAUAGAAUUUGUGCUCAAUUGACUUAUAAUAUUAAUUCAAUUGGAGUUUGAUUAACUAACAAUACCAAUUCAAUCACGGGUCUAAAUAAUAAUAUAAAUAUAAAUUCUUACAGAAAAUUUAAAAUUUUAUAUCCAUUUUUUGAAGCAUAUCCAUCAACUAUUCAUAAAAUAUGAGUACGUUGAUAAUGUUAUAUUUUGAAGAUGAUAGGUUUAGAUUUGAUAUAUAUGAUUUCUUGAUACAAUGCAAGUUCAAAUUUAAACCCUAAAACCCUAUACCCACAGCAAGUAAAUUCACGGAUUAAACCCUAAACUUGAAGACAAAUAACUAACACCAACUAAUGGGCUUACUGCUCAUUAUGAGCUUUAGGCUAGGCUUUUUCUAUAAACGGGGGCCUUACUAUAAUUUCAGCAAUGGGCAAUGGGCAAUGGGCAAUGGGUGUGAUUAUUAGGACCCUGUCUAUAGCUAUGUUGAUACAGUGAUUGAAACUUCAUGCCCGACCUCCAACUAUUUUAAACCGACGUUUUACAAUGCAAAUACUGAAGUUGGUAGCUGAUGCAUAUUAUUAGAUACUUUUCUUCACCUUGAGAAAAAAAAAUAGCCAUCUUUAUCAUUCAAUUAGGUGAAGUUAAUAUCUGGCCAACUUUCUUCCAUAUCAUAGCUUUUUUGGUGAAGAAAAAAAAUGGAUGCUUUUCUUCAACAUACAGACAAAACACCUACAAGAAGACCCGACCAGUUUGCAUGCAUGGUCUUAAUCAGUGGGUAAGCCACCUUAUGAAGAAGAUGGGAUUAUUGCGACCUAAUUAUUCUUUGUAAGAAAAAAGAAUUCAAAAUUUUGGUUGUGCAUGCGUGCUAAUAUUAUUGUUCAAAGUCGUAUUGAAGACUUGUUCAAAACCAAAAUGGUGUUGGAUUAUUGACUUUUUCUGUAUCAUUGUAAAUUAGGGCAGCCGUUUCGUUUGGAUUGAUUUCCCAUCACAACCAUAUCUCGUCCUUUUAUAACUGAAGCUUUAUUAUUAUUAUUUUCUGAAGUUUUAACGGUGCUGGUUUUUUUAAAUACUUCUAUUAAUUCAAUUAACACCCCUACAUGCAUCCCUAUUUUCACUUCUAAUUAUAUAAUUUUUCUUUAGGGAUCUUUCCAGAGAUUUUUAACUCAUUUGAAACAAGUAUAUAAAUUGUUGUCUAUUUAGGGUCCUUUAAUCCCUCAACACCACGAUAGCUCUUGAUUAUUUUAGGAGCUUGAAUACUUGAAGAAACAAUACAUUGGAUGCCGAAGAAGAUCGAGUAUAUAGGCGUGCAUGGUUACUAGUAUUACUUGAACUGAAUUGAAUUGAUCGAUUGGAUCGGUUUAAUUGAGAAUCUACCAAUGUAGCGCCUUGGAAUUGGGGGUUGAAUCGACCUUUGAAUAGGGGUAGACAAUGGCCAUGGUCCUAAGAAUAAAACAAUAUUUUAUAUUCUACCUUUGUCCUUGCUCUAAACAAACCGCUCGGAAUUGGUAAAAACUGUAAAACUAGGAUAAACAAUUGACAAUUGAACCAAUCUUAUAAUUUUGUAACUAUUUAUUUAAUUAUUGUUAUCCCUUGUCAAACUGAUCAAACCCCUAUUCUUUACAACAUAUAAGGCACUUGUGGCGUAAGAAUCCUACUACUAGGACUAUACCUAGUGGGAACUUGUCUCUCUUUGAGCAUUUGAACUUCCAAUAACAGCGUAUGAAGACAAAACUUCAAAUUGAGAAUUUACAAAACGUGUUAAAUAGUUUAAAUGAAUGGUAUUUUGUAUACUUUUCUUAUAAGAAUCGAAAACCGUAAUUGUAUAAUUAUUAAAUGCAACAAAAGCUUCCAAGGGAUCCACCGACAGGUGGAAGACCCCCUAGCCACAAAAUUAGAGUCCUCCGAAAAAUGGUGGUGGGACUCCAAUUAAAAAGAGUUGGUUAUUUUAAUGCCUUGGACUCAGUCUAAAGGUAUCAAAUAAAUGGGAACUCAAACUUCUUUUAUUUCUGGAGAAUCAAGUAAGGUAUCAAUUAUCAAACUUUAAACAUUUGUAUAGUUUUCUAUCUUUCCAUUUCCAUAAAUUUCCACACGUUUUUCAAUCACUAGGGGCGUUUACUCCCUCUCUCUACUUUACUUUUUGUGUCCAAAUUAAAAGGUUAUAGAUGUCAAUGGCUAAAAUCUUGAGAAAUUUUCAUUGAGUUCCUCUUUUUUUUUUUUUUGAACUUUUUAUUUGGGUCCUUUAAUUUUUUUUUAAAUUCUCAUUAAAUCCCUUACAGGUUUUUAGUUUUAAAGUUUUUAAUCAGGCCUCAAAUUUGUUUUCGAUAUUUUACUUGAAUUCCUCAAACCUUAAUGGUGAGAUCCACUAUUGGAUUUUCUUAAUUCGAUGACAAGAUUCACCACUGAAUUUCCUAAUUUGUGUUUAAACACAAAGUUUUUUUGGUCAACAAUCAAAAGUAGCAAAUAUUUGAAGUUCUAUAUUCACAUCUUAUGAUUCAUAGUUCAAACCUUUACAAUGAUAUCCCCUCCUCAAAUUGUAGUGCUAAUAUUGGUUAAAAAAGAGGAUAAAAUAACAUUUAGUUUUUGAAUUUGGUAACUUUUUUCACUUUAGUCCCUAACUUAUUUUGGUCCACAUUCAUCUCAAAAUUUGAUAUUUUUCUCAAUUUGCUCCCUAAACUUGGUUUUUGUGAAGGAAUGAUGGCGUGGCACUAGCACAUUAUCAUCUGAUUUUUUUUUUUGAAAAGUAAUAAUUUUAUAAUUUCUUUAUUAUUUUUAAUAAUUUUAAUUUUUUUUUGUAUUUUUUAGAUUUGAUAUAUUGUUUUUUUAACUUUUAGGUGAUGAUGUCACAAAAUCUCAGAGUGCCUCAUCUUUACUCCUUAAUGGAAUUCAAGUUCAAUGAUCGAAUUGGAAAAAGUUGCCGGGUCCUGAAAGAACUAAAAAAAAGUUCAAAAACCAAAUUGAAAAAUGUUAUCAAGUUCAGGGAUAAUUCAAAAACACAUAAUAAGAAAAAAGAAUAGAAAAAUUAGAUUGAAGGCCACAAAAGGAGCCGCCAAAACGAUGGGCUUAGGACUCAUGCCAUAUUUGGGAAGGGGCCUAAAAUGAACAUACAUUGCAAAACAUAUAUAGCUCUCUAUAGACCAAACCCACUCAUCUAUGGAACCAUCAUUGUUUAACCACCAAACAAUGUUCCAUGGUCUUCACGGAGAUAUUUGUAGUGACUUCAUUUCAAUCAAAACUCCCCAACAGAAAGCUUUAGGUUAAAUUCUAUCAUUAGUCACUCAACUUUACGAAAGUUGUGGAUUUAAUCUAUAUAUUUUAAUUUGGUCAUUUUUAGUCCCCGUACAUUUCAAGUUUUAAAAUUUCAAUCCUCCCCAAACAAUAUUAAAUUCAUUAAGUUAAAUUUUGUUAUUUCCAAAAUCUGAUGCAGAAAAUAUAUUAUCAUGAUAUGUGUAAUACCACGUCAGGUUGUUAUUUCUAUAUUACUCACUAAAUUUUAAAAUUCAAAAAAUAAAUAGACUAAAAUUAACCAAUUUGAAAAGUACAAUGACUAAAAAAUUGAUUGAAUUAAAGUACAUUAACUAAAUCCAUGAAUUUUGCAUAGUAUAGGGCUAACAAUAGAAUUUAACCCAAGGUUUACUUGACUUUUGUAAAGCACCAAACACUUGAGACACAACAAUCCCAAAUGGGGUUUCAAGUUACCAACAAAAGCAACAACAAAACUGAACUAAAUGCUUCCUUUUCCUUAUUUAGAAAGGGUUAAAGGGUUACAGAGAGUACCAAUGAUCUUAGAAAUAAAAUUGGUACAAGUUUGUUACCUCUUACGGCAAGUGUACACACUUUCAAUAGACGGUCUUCGUAGGCCUUAUUUUUUUGACCUUUUCAUCACUAAAUUCGUGUGUUAAAGUUUGACCCCAAAGACAUCCCACGAUAACACUUUUGACUCAUUAGAUUUCAAAUGCUAAUUGAAAAUUUGGGUUAAAGCCCUUUAAUCUCGAAUCAUUUUAUAUUUCUUUUUUUGGCUCCUUUGCAUUGGCACAAGACGACAUAUAGAAGCUUACAAAAAAGAAAAUAAAAGAAAAGAAAAGAAAAGUGGGUUAGUCUUAUGGCUUAGUAAAAUGCGUGUGAAGUUGAUAAGAGUCAUCCCCCUCCCCAUCAAAACCCACUAUAAAAACCCUUGUAAUCCCCCACUUUCUUCAAUUCCACCUCCCAAAACUCUCUAUUCUCGUUUCUAAUACAAAUAAAAAAAGAGAUGUGUCAAUUUACAUCCUCUAAUGACACUUGCACUUGCAAUCCAAACGUGCCUUACCUUCUCCCUAUCAAAGCCAACGAAGGGUCCAACAUGUACCCAUCGUUUACCCCUAAAAGCCCAAUAUGGAACCAAGACGAAAAGCUUGAAAGGGCCAUGCCUUCUGUGUCUCUUGCAAUCGAGGAAGCCAUUUCCAUAGCUAAGAUAGCUCUUCCCAUGAUACUAACGGGGCUCGUGUUAUAUUCCCGCUCGUUGAUCUCCAUGCUCUUCCUCGGUCAACUCGGUGAACUUGCUUUAGCUGGUGGUUCACUUGCCAUUGGCUUUGCCAAUAUCACCGGUUACUCUAUCCUUUCGGGUCUUGCCAUGGGAAUGGAAUCCAUUUGUGGACAAGCUUUUGGUGCUCGAAAGUAUACCCUUCUUGGCAUCACGUUGCAAAGAACGGUGCUAUUGCUUUUAGUUACCUCUUUACCCAUUUCUCUUCUAUGGAUAAACAUGAAGAAAAUACUCACACUUUGUGGCCAAGAUGAAGCUAUAGCCAUUGAAGCACAAUCAUAUCUUAUUUACUCCAUCCUUGAUCUCUUAGCUCAAUCCCUUUUACACCCAUUGAGAAUCUAUCUAAGGACCCAAUCCAUAACUUUACCUCUAACAUGUUGUGCCAUUUUAUCAAUUCUUCUCCACGUACCAAUAAAUUACCUUCUCGUAUACCAUCUCAAAUUAGGAACCAAAGGUGUUGCUCUUAGUGGUGUAUGGACCAACUUCAACCUUGUAGCCUCAUUGAUAAUCUAUAUCCUUUACUUCAAAGUUCAUAAAAAGACAUGGGGAGGGUUUUCAAUGGAGUGCUUUAAAGAAUGGAAAUCCCUAUUGAAUUUAGCCAUUCCAAGUUGCAUUUCAGUCUGCCUUGAAUGGUGGUGGUACGAGAUCAUGAUCCUUCUAUGUGGGUUGUUGUUAAACCCCAAAGCCACCGUUGCUUCAAUGGGCAUUUUGAUUCAAACAACAGCCUUGAUCUACAUAUUCCCAUCUUCAGUAAGCUUCAGUGUAUCAACAAGGGUAGGGAACGAACUCGGUGCUAACCAACCCAAAAGAGCUAAACUCGCCGCCUUUGUAGGCCUUCAUUGUGGCUUCAUGUUGGGGUUUUCAGCACUUGUAUUUUCCGUAACAGUUAGGAAAAUAUGGGCUACUAUGUUCUCCGCCGAUAAAGAGAUCAUAGCAUUAACCUCCCUCGUUUUGCCGAUAAUCGGUUUAUGCGAGCUCGGGAACUGCCCACAAACCACAGGCUGUGGUGUGUUACGAGGCACUGCCAGGCCCAAAGUAGGAGCCAACAUAAACCUCGGUUGCUUCUACCUUGUUGGCAUGCCGGUUGCAAUAUGGCUAGCUUUCUUUGCUGGGUUUGAUUUCAAGGGACUAUGGCUCGGACUAAUGGCUGCACAAGGCUCAUGUGUGUUGACCAUGAUGGUGGUCUUGGUUAGAACAGAUUGGGAUUUGGAAGCUGCAAAGGCUAAACAACUGACCGGAACAGUACUGGUUGUCGAUGACAGUGACAAAGCAGAAUUCAAGGAGGAAUCUAUUUCUUUAUUAAGUGAUUCAAAUCAUUAUUGCCUCGUUUAGUUAACCAUUUUUAUCCCCCUUUUUGUCACCUGUACUGUAUAUCUUAAGAAGGUAAAGGGAGGGAACAAAAGGAGUUAUUCAAAGUUUGUUUUCUUUUUUAAUUCAAUUGUAUAAAAAGAAUAUCAUUAACUAUAUGAAUAUUAUAAAACCAUUAUGUCAAAAAAAAAUUCUCACAUCAUUAAAUUAUUAUUAUUUUUAGUAAAUUUAUAUUUUAAUCAUUUAAUUUCAAAAUGUUACAAAAAUGAUCACCAAACUAUUUGAAAGUUUUUAUUUUGAAGUUGAGUUACCAAACAUAAAUUUUUGAACAGUUUAGUGACCUUAGGUGCAGUUUACCCUAGGGGUGUAAAUGAGACAUUAAUACUCACAAGUUAUUUGUGUUCUACUCGAAAAAAAUUGAAUUAGAUUGGAUAAAUAUCGAACCAAAUUCAAGCUUAAUAAUACUUUAUUUAACCGGCUUGCAAGCCUUAUCGAGUUUUUCAUAUUUUAAUAUUACGUUAUUACCCCUAAUAUAUAUUAUUAACCUUAAGCUUAAUUAUUGAGUCAAGUUCAAACUCGAGUACAACAAUUGAUAAAUGAGUUUAAUCAAACUUGAGUAGCUUGAUUAUAUCUCGAGCGAAAUUUAAACUUAAAAAUAGAUAUUCGAUAGAGUUCAAACCAAAUAUUAAAUUUCAAAUUUUGAGUCGAGCUCAAACUCAAACUUAGUAGUACUCGAAUUCAGGUCGGUUAUACCCUAAUUUACCCUAUAUAUUUUUUAAUGUACUUUUAUUUGUAGUAUUGUGUGGACAUAGUUUAGGUCCUUUGAAUGUAUUGCAAAAGGAUGAACCAAAAACUAAUAAUUAAUGGUUUUGGUUGAAUGAAUUUGAAACGCAUGAAGAGACGCAGUGUUCCUUGAGUUAACUGCAUGAUGCAGGAGCAGAGACACGGUCCAAUGAGGCAUGAUUCAUGUAAAGCUUAAAAGGACUAAUUUGAAGCAAUUUUUUUACUAUUAUUUUGGUAUACUCACUUAACUCCCUGUUAAAAGAAUAAAACACUUUCACAUCCUCUUAGCUAAUAUUUAAAAAAAAAAAUUGAACCAAAGCUAGUGGCAUGAAACUAGUAUUAAUUUCUUUUUGGAUAAUUUAAUUGUUGGCUUAAUGUAUGAAUUUGACACUUUUUUCUAAAAAUAGUAUUUAGAUUAUUUUUUUGUUUAAAAUUAUAUACUUUUAGCGUUUAAUUCGGGUUUUAGAGUUCAUUUGAUGAAAAUUUAUAAUUAGUUAAUAAUAUUAACAAUUAAUUUUUAUGAAACCAACUCUCAAAUUUGAAUUUAACAUUAAAAACUAAUAUUUUUAUUUUUAAAUACUAAAAUAUAUAAUUUUUUUUCAACUAUAAGUACCAAAUUGGAUAAAAAUAAGAUAGAUACGAAAAAAGUGUAAAACUUGAAUAAUAUAUUGAAGCAGAAUCUUUGGGGUGAUAAGUAAAGGAACAUAUUCAGAUGAAGGGUGGCAGUGGCACCACUUGCAGAAUCCUUUUGUAAUGGAAGUCAAUCGAACUUAUCAGAGUGAUGCUCUCAUGAGUUGGAAUGUUAUACAAAAAAAUCCCCAUUUAAAUAAAGCUACGUUUUCUUUUGGAUAAAUAUUAAAAUUAUCAAUAAUUUUUUAUUUAAUAUAUAUAUUAAUUUUAAUUUUGUGGAAUUUUAUAUAUGAAAUUUUAAUUUAAUUCAAUUUUCAUAAAUUAUUAAUAAUAUUAUCAAAUUAGUACUAUUUUAUGUUGAUAUAUUAUACACACAAAUAAUUAUAUUAAUCUAAUAUUAAAAUAAAUAAAUAUAAUUAAAUUAAAAUCAAAAUUUUAUAUCACCAACGUAUCAUAUGCAUUUUAUACCUCUAUAAACUAUAAGAGAAAUAAAUGCAUAUAUACAAAAUGGCAGUGAGUCAAGGAGACAAGACCGCCAAAACUGUUGGGUUGAGAGAGACCAAACCUGGUUUGGGAUAAUUGUUGGGUAUACAUUAGUAUAAACCGUUUGAGAAAUAGUGAUGUUUGGAUAAUGUGGCCGUAAUUCCGUGUCAACUUAAAUGUAUAACUUUUUGCUCUCUUUCUCGGCCUCGGGGAUCUCAUUCUUUCUUCUUAAUCAUCUCUUUCAGGGAACAAAUUCUUUUAUCCUCACCUUAAAAUAAUGCAUCUGGAACUUUUUUCCUGCAAUUUAUCAAGGUUUAUGCCUUUUUUGGGAUCGCAAACCAUGCGAAUUUUAUAUAAUACACUUCACUCGUCAUCGUCAUUGGAUUAGAGUUACGACGAUUAACAAAAUAAAUCCAAAGUUUAUCUUUAAACAAUCAUUAAUAUGCUUUCAGUCAAUAAUCAUGUUACUCAUAUAAAAAUAGGGUUUAAAUCAAAGUUUUAUAACUCUAAAAUCAAUUUGAAAACAAGCCGAGAUUAAUUCAAAACAAAACAAAACACGGUUGUUCUUUUUGUUUAAAAAUCCAUCCAUUUUAAAUGUAAAAAAUUGGCAUGGUUGAUGAAAUACCAUACAGUUGAUAUGCAAAUACUAAUUUUUAAUGGUAAAAAUGAAUAAUUUUUAAUAAAAUGAUCGAUUGACUCUUUGUUUAAUAUACAAUGAUUAAUUUAUUCAUUUUUUAAUAGAAAGACAAAAUACGAUCCGGCUCUUAAUCCAAGAAUUUUAUAAUAUUUUUACCUAAUAAGUUAUAAUUUGAAAUCUCUUAAAAAAAAUUAUAAUCCAAUUUUAACCAUUAAAAUAAUUUACAUUACGAUCCUUGUUAAUAUAUUUUUUUAUAGCAUCAUUGAUUCAAUCCUAAACCUAGAGUCUAGUUUCAUUGUUCAAUGCACGUCGUAGCUUGAUAGGGUUACACAUAAUAUAACAUAACUAAAAUCAAUGGAAUAAAAUCUAGUAUAUAUGUAAAGAUAAAAAAGAUUUAUUUGGUUGUCAUCAAUUAAUUAAAGAUUAAAACAUUAAUUAAUUAAGGCGACAUAUGUGACGUACAGUUAUAAAUCUGGUAAAUAGAGAAUAAAAAUUUCCAAGGUACAGAUCCGUUCUUCAUUACUAGAUAUUGUUUUUCUCUUUUAGAUGUGAGGCCACGAAUCUGCUGACUCCUCUUUUCUUCUGCUCUUUUCAUUGUACAAUGUUUCCUUUGUGUGCCAUGACUAUACUGCCCAAAUUCCCACUGUUCUACUACAUCCCUUUUCCUUUUAAUACACUUCUUUUAUUAAAUUUUUUAUUACAAUAAAACGUUUCUUUCUAUUAAAAGAUUUAUUAUUUUUAUUGUUAAAAAUUUAUAUAAUUAACGAAAUAAUGUUCGAAGACCACUAUUUAUAAAUACAAAUGGAUGUAAUUUUAAGUUAAUGUUUAGACAACUUAUACCCCUACCGAGGAGGAGGGGGUAGGCAGGGCCAUCCUCAUAUGUGGUUUGAUAAAAUUGGAUUUUUGGUUGUUCAAAAAUAAUAUACUUAAACUUUGGUCGAAUGUAAAUUUUGAUUUUGUAUAAAAUUAUACAAGAUUUUUUUAUUUGAUUUAAUUUUCACAAAUUAUUGACAAUAUUAUCGAAUUAGCACGUUGAUAUAUUACAUACACAAACAAUUAUAUUAAUCUAGUAUAAAAAUAAAUGUAUGUAUUUAUUUCUUUAAAUUUAUACAAUUGAUCAAAAUCAAAGUUUUAUAUAUAUAAUUGCAUCAAAUCAAAGUCCAUGUAUAAAUUUUAUAUUUAUGCCUAUGUUAACUUAAUGGUUAAAAAAUUUAUAAGCCAAUCUUGAUCACCCUAAUAUAAAAAAAAAAGGAGAUAAAUACUAAAAUUAUAUAUGAACUUUGAUACAAUUUACAAAUACACCAAAUUAAAAUUAAUAUAUAACCUCGGAAACUAUAUGAAAAUUGAUGUAUAAUUUAAUAUUUAUCCAUAAGAAAAUUUGUUUUAACUUUUGCCCCGCGAUACCCCUAUCCCUUGUCAAUAUAUAUAAAAACCAAUGAGUAAAUUAUAAAUUCCAAAAUGCUUCCAUGAAAUUAGCAACCAAGUUGUGUGUGCUGUGCCCCAUAGUUAUUCGUUUCAUCAAAAUAGAACCCUGUAAGUGGUGUAAGAUCCACAUAUUGGACAUAAAAAAAGAGUAGCCAAACAAAAAAUAUUCUUUUCUACCUUUUCAACUGUUGAAAAGCAAAAAAGGCUGCCAUUAUUUAUCUCUCUAUAUAAAUAAAUAAGAUGGGGUGACAUUAUCUUAACACUAUUGAGGGCGAUAACUACAAAUAAAUCCCUGAUCCGAUGAUGCAUUGCUUCCAUUCAAAGCACCACUUUAGAGGUUGAAUUUCCAGAAAAAAAAGAAAACAAAGGGUCAUUUUCAGAGAAUGGAGCACCGCCCAGUAAAAAGAAUAUUGUAUAGAGAGAUAAGGAAUAAUAGUAGGGGGGGGGAUAAUGGCGACAGCAGAGACGGUGGCGCCCUUUUAUGGAGACAAAGGCGAGGAUGGGUAUUUGGCAAACCCGGGAACGUUGGCAUGGCUCCAUCAUCUUGCAUUUGCGAGACACCUUUGGCUGCUCACUGGGCUACGAAUCCGUGUCAACUUUGAACUCCCCCCCUUAAAAGUAGGGAUCACUUUAUUUAUAUAUUUCAAAAAGUUACUAAUAACGAUGAAGAAUAAAAAUAAAAGUUAUAAUAUUUUUUAUUCAAUGAAUUUAACGUAAAAAAGAAGAUUUUAUAAUGCGUUAAAGUUAAGUGAUGUCGUGACACGUAGUUAAAAGAAGAAAAUACAAAUUUGGGGAUUAAUAUGAACCCAAAAAUUUCAAGGAUGAAUAUAAAAAGGUCUAGAAUACUAACUUUUUUAUCCAUUGGUGGCGGCUGAUAAAAGUGUGAAAUGUGGAAGGAAAAAUGUUGGUUUUAAUAUGAAUAGGAUUAAAGCUGAGUUGGGCCAAGCUUCACUCCUUAUUCUUUUUAUAGUUUUUAGAUUUAGUGGGCCUUUAUGAUGCUCAAAAAUAGGAUAUAAAUAUUUGACAAUUACACUUUUUUGCUUUCUUUUCCUUUUUUUUUUUUUUUAAUUUCUUAAUCGUGGCUUUUAACUUUAUAUGAAUAUUGUCUUAAAGAUUGAAUCAGCACCCUUUUUUUUUUAAAGUAUAUCCACGAGAAAAAUGAAAUUAACAAACAUCAAGCUCAAAUUAAAAGAUAUUAAAAAGGGGUGUUCCUUAUGGAAGAGGAUAGCGAACAAAGUCUGGGGUGGAUGAAAAUAUUUAUAUAUUUAAAAGUAAAUAUGGUCGAAUGAUAGUGGGUGGAGGCAAGUUUUACUCGGAGGUGAGUUAAUAAUAGUUAAAUUGAAACUAAUUGAGGUAAUAUAGUUUUUUUUUAUUUUAUGAUUUUUUCAUCUUAACUAAUUUCACCAUCCCUUCCUCUAUGGGUAUUUUGAUAUAAUGAUUUUGGUAUGAUCAUACUUUCACAGAUUAAGUUGGUGUUACUAAAUUGGAAACACCAAAUCCAAUGCAUUAUCACUUUGAAUUCCUAAAGCAAAAGAAAUUGUAUGCUUAAAAACGUUGAAACCCUCAUUAUUUGAGUUGUUAGAGCAAUAAUGUUAAUUAAGGAAUUUUAUUAUAAUGCAAAAAGAUACACGAGUGAAUUAAUAUUUUUAUAACCAAAUAUAUGAGUAUAAUCUAAAAAGUGAUACAAAUAAAUUGCUAGGUUUGUGAAACGUCUCUUGGGCUUUGCAUGCCCAACUAAAAAUCUAAACAAAACGAACAACGGGCUUAACGAAAUUCAAGAAAUGGAGCAGAUAUCCCACAUCGAAUAUACCAAGUGGGCAUCUUGCCGUUUAAGUAGUUGUUCUCUGGGCUUAAUUGGAGCAGACCCAUUGCCUGCAUUCUCUAUUCUUUUUACAAGAAAAUUCAAUGCACAAAAACGUGUUCACUUGUGGACUAAAUUUUAGUUUAACCCAUAUUAUUACUAUUGUAAUAAUUUAGAAAAUACAGAGAUCAAGCACACUUAAAACACGUUAUUUUAAGAUUUGCAUCAAACAAAAAUUGUGACUUCAAUUUUACUUUUACCUUUGCUUUCAAACACUAAUUGUAUUUUGUUUUUGAAGAUAUUUUUUUUUGAUAUAAUAUUUAAAAUUAUUUAUAAUUCCUUUUUAAUUCAUAAAUAAGAGGUUGAUAUUACAUGUAAGUCCAACAACAUUAGCGGUGAUGGAACAAUAUAGUACGGUUCCACAACUCUUCGUCUCAAUCAAUUAAUUUCUUUCUUUUUUUUCUUCUUGGAACUCCCGUCCUCAGUUACUAUCAGUAGCUUGCUUUUUUUCUAAAAGAAAAUUGAUGCGAUAAAUCAAAAUUAUCAGAAUCAUUAUUUUGAUGAUGAUUAAUGUUGAUAUUCUGUAAAAGUAUUAAAUUAUAUUUUAUUUCUUUUAUUCAAUAAAUAAAUAAAUUAUUCUUUGUAUGUUAUAUAAAAUUUUAUUAAAAAUUUCAUCAAUUUUUAUUAUUAAAAAUUGACAGAAUAAUCAAAUGGUUAUAUGUUGCGCGGAAGCGUGUGAAAGAGUAAAAUUAUUGUACUGAAAAAUCACACUAAGUUCAAUUCCCAGGAAAGAGAGGUGGAUCACGAGGAUCGCUUACAUACCAGAUCUUUCCUAGCCAGAAUAUCCCUCUAUCGUAAUUUAAUAGCACAAUAAAUCACUACAAUGACACUUGCAAAAUAUGCAGAACAAAAAUAAAGAACACUAGAAUUUUAACGAGGUUCAGCAAAUUUUGCCUACGUCCUCGGGCACUACCAAAUAUAUUUCACUCCAAAAAUACAAGUGAAAGUUUACAAAUAGGGAGAGAGAACAAUUGCCUUAAGUAGAGAAUGGCAAGUGUGGGAUGAAGAAAGUAAGAGAUGGUUAGGCCUAUUUAUAGUUGAGGUUUAAGGAUCAACUUGCAAUGUCCCUAUACAAUUAGGGACCAAAAUUGCAAUUAUCCCAUGCCAACUUUUAACCCAACUUGCCAAUCAAUCUUACUUUCUACUUUCGGUGCCUUUCGGUGCCAACUUUCUGCCACUAUUCAUCUUUGAAAAGUCAAAGAUUGUAGGUAUCCAAUAAUCUCCACCUUGAAGAUUUGAUUAGGAUAAUCUUAUCUUCACACAAUUCUUUCUUCCUUUGACAACAAUACUUGAUAGUGCCUUCUUCAACUGUUAAACUUGCAGGAUAUUGAUCAAGUUCAAACAAUGUUCGAACUUGGUUGUUGUUACCACCUUGGUCAUCAUAUCUGCGGGAUUAUCUGCAGUCUUGAUCUUCUGAAGACAAAUUUUCCCUUCUUCAAUAAUUUCCCGCACAAAAUGGAAUCGUACGUCGAUAUGUUUUGUACGUGCAUGAUAGACUUGAUUCUUUGCUAAAUGAAUAGCACUUUGACUAUCACAAUACACGUUAAUGUGCUCCUGAACCAACCCCAAGGUUUUAGCCAUACCUUGUAACCAAAUAGCCUCCUUUACAGCCUCUGUUACAGCCAUGUACUCGGCUUCUGUGGUUGACAAUGCAACUGUAGACUGUAGUGUAGACUUCCAACUUAUUGGUCCUCCAGCAAGUGUAAACACAUAACCGGUGGUUGAUCUUCGUUUGUCCAAAUCACCGGCAUAGUCAGAAUCAACGUACCCAAUAACACCUUUACCAAGUGUAUUAUCCUGCUUGAACAGUAAUCCAACAUCCACGGUUUUCUGAAUAUACCGUAGAAUCUAUUUCACAGCUUGCCAAUGUCCUUUUCCAGGAUUAUGCAUAUACCUGCUCACUAUACUAACUGCCUGUGAAAUGUCGGGUCUUGUACACACCAUUGCAUACAUCAAGCUACCCACUGCAUUAGAAUACGGAACUUGCAACAUGUAUUCUCGUUCCGUAUUCGUCGAAGGAGAUAGUUGUGCAGAAAGCUUGAAAUGAGAAGCCAACGGGGUACUUACAGGUUUGGUAUGCUCGUUCAUACCAAACUGCUGUAGUACUUUCUUCAAAUACUGCUUCUGAGACAAGCUAACUCUGCCAUGAGCUCUAUCUCUACAUAUUUCCAUGCCAAGAAUCUUCUUAGCUUCACCUAGAUCUUUCAUCUCAAACUCGAGAUUGAGUUGAGUCUUCAAUCUCUCAAUCUCAACUUUGCUCUUAGAUGCUAUCAGCAUAUCAUCAACAUAUAAGAGCAAGUAUAUGAAAGUUCCUUCUUGUAGCUUCUGAAAAUAUACGCAAUGAUCAAAUUUACUUCUUGUGUACCUUUGCCCUUUCAUGAACUGAUCAAAUCGCUUGUACCACUGCCUCGGAGAUUGUUUCAAUCCAUAAAGCGACUUUGUCAGUUUGCAAACCCAAUUUUCUUUAUCAGCAACAUUGAAUCCAUCAGGCUGAGUCAUAUAGAUUUCCUCUUCCAAAUCACCGUGUAAAAAUGCUGUCUUCACAUCAAGCUGAACUAGUUCAAGAUCGUAUUGCGCAACCAAGGCUAGUAAAAUUCGAAUAGACGAAUGCUUCACAACUGGAGAAAACACUUCAUUGUAGUCUAUUCCUUCUUUCUGAGCGUAACCCUUUGCUACCAAUCUAGCCUUGUAUCGAAUUUCAUUUUUACCAGGAAAUCCUUCCUUCUUUGCAUAUACCCAUUUGCAUCCAAUUGCCUUCUUUCCCUUGGGCAGUCUCACCAACUCCCAAGUCCUAUUUUUAUGAAGAGACUGCAUUUCUUCAUUCAUAGCUUGCUUCCACUUUACACCAUCAGAGUUACUUAUUGCUUCUGUGUAAGUGGAAGGAACAUUAUCAUCUGCAAUUGGAAGUGCAUAGGCCACCAUAUCAUCAAAGCGAGCAGGCUUACGAAUCUCUCUUCUUGGCCUCCUAUAUGCAAUUGAAUCUUGUUGCUGUAGAAGUUCUUGGGUCGAAACUUCUUCAUCAUUUGUUCUUUCAAUAUUAGCUGGAUCAUCAUUAACCUUUUCAAACUCCACCUGCUGCAAAGUACUACUGGUUUUGUCAUCCUUUUGUGAAUCCUCGUUCUUCAUCAUGGUUGAUUCAUCAAAAGUUACAUCUCUACUGAAAACAAUCUUCCUUGUAUCAGGACACCAGAGACGGUAUCCUUUUACACCACCAGUUAUACCCAUGAAUAAUGCUUUCUUUGCUCUUGGGUCUAACUUAGAUUCUUUUACAUGAUAAUAUGCAGUAGAACCAAAAACAUGUAAAGAAUCAUAAUCAGUAGCAGGUUUACCAGUCCACAUCUCCAUAGGAGUUUUUCCAUUUAUUACAGCUGAUGGCAAUCGGUUAAUUAGAUGGCACGCAUAUGUAACUGCCUCAGCCCAAAAUUCCUUGCCCAAUCCAGCAUUGGACAACAUACAUCGAACUUUCUCCAGUAUAGUCCGAUUCAUGCGUUCUGCCACCCCAUUCUGCUGUGGUGUAUCUCGAACAGUGAAGUGUCGCACAAUGCCCUCAUCUUGACAUACUUGUAGAAAUGGAUCAUUUUUGUACUCAGUACCAUUAUCUGAUCGAAGUCGUUUGACCUUUCGACCUGUCUGAGUCUCCACCAUCUUCUUCCACUUCAGAAAUGCAUCCAAAACUUCAUUUUUUCUUUUCAUUAGAUACACCCAUACUUUUCUUGAAUAAUCAUCAAGAAAAGUGACAAAAUAGUGCAUACCUCCCAAAGAAGCCACUUUGGUAGGUCCCCACACAUCACUGUGAACAUAGUCCAGAAUUCCUUUCGUAUUGUGAAUUGCUGAACCAAAUUUUACCCUCGUCUGCUUGCCCAGAACACAAUGUUCACAGAAUUCCAAUUUGCAAGAAUUUGCACCUUUCAACAAGCCUUGCUUCGCCAAAGUCUGCAAAGCUUUUUCACCAGCAUGUCCCAAUCGCCUAUGCCAUAACCUGGUAGCCUCUGAAUCUGCAUCUUUCGCAGAAGCUGUUGAUGUUGAUCCAAUAACUGUACUUCCAUUUAAAUAGUACAAGUUAUUUCUUCUAGUGCCUUUCAUCACCGUCAAUACCCCAGCUACUACCUUUAGUAAUCCAUCUCUCAAAGUGAUUGUGAGCCCUUUAGAUUCUAGGGCCCCUAAUGAGAUGAGAUUUUUCUUCAAGCUAGGUACGUAGCGAACAUCUGUCAAGACUUGGAUUGAGCCGUUGUGAUUUUUCAAUUGGACUGUACCCACUCCCAUUGUCUUACAAGCACUAUUAUUGCCCAUAAGAACAAUUCCACCUUCUAGCUCUUUAAGACUAGAAAACCAGUCCUUAUUAGGACACAUAUGGUAAGUACAUCCUGAAUCCAAAAUCCACUCAUCCGUUUGACAUGCCAUUGCCAUGCCAACCAAGCUAAAGUCUGACUCCUCAUUAUGCUCCGCUACACAUGCAUUAGAAAUAGCCUUGCCCUUUUGUAGCUUAGGACAAUUCUUUUUCCAAUGCCCUUUCUCACGACAAAAGGCACAUUCAUCUUUGGCGGGUCUCCCUUUGGACUUACCCCUUCUACCAGGUUUGCUGCUGUGUGAACGACCUCUUACUGUUAAGACUUCUGCAGUUGUAUCUCUGUGAUCUCUUUUAUCUUUCUUUCGAGUCUCAGAUCUAUACAACGCACUACAGACUGCAUCAAAUGUGAUCGUAUCCUUCCCAUGAAGCAAUGUGGUGGUAAGAUGAUCAUAUUCAUCAGGAAGAGAAUUCAACAACAAUAAUGCCUUGUCUCCAUCUUCAAAUUUCUCAUCCAAAUUUAACAAGUCUGCUAAAAUUUUAUUGAAUGAGUUCACAUGGUCAUUCAUCGACAUACCGGGUGCAUACGUGAAUCGAUAAAGUUUCUUUUUCAUAUAAAGCCUAUUUUCAAGACUUUUCGUUAGAAACUUUUCUUUCAAUGUAUCCCACAGCUUCUUCGCUGAUGUCUCCCUCAUGACGGAGUACUUUUGCUCUUUGGCCAAACAUAGGCGGAUUGUUCCACACGCCUGUCUAUUGAUCUUGUCCCACUCCUUGUCAUCCAUCUUGUCAGGUUUUUCUUCAAGGGCUAUAUCCAGCUCUUGCUGACAUAAGACAUCCAGGAUCUCACACUGCCACAUACCAAAAUUAUUGGUACCGUCAAAUUUCUCUACUUCAAAUUUUGCAUUUGUCACAGUAGUCCUUGCUGAUGACGAUGCUGCUGCCAUUUUUCUCCUCAAUCCCAACUACUGUAUACGUGAACAGUACCGUAUACGUGAAUAGUACCGUAUACGUGAAUAGUACCAUAUACGUAAAUAGUGCCGUAUACGUGAAUAGUACCGUAAACGGUCGUAUUCCCCAAGUACGAACCUGGCUCUGAUACCAAUUGUUGCGCGAAAGCGUGUGAAAGAGUAAAAUUAUUGUACUGAAAAAUCACACUAAGUUCAAUUCCCAGGAAAGAGAGGUGGAUCACGAGGAUAGCUUACAUACCAGAUCUUUCCUAGCCAGAAUAUCCCUCUAUCGUAAUUUAAUAGCACAAUAAAUCACUACAAUGACACUUGCAAAAUAUGCAGAACAAAAAUAAAGAACACUAGAAUUUUAACGAGGUUCAGCAAAUUUUGCCUACGUCCUCGGGCACUACCAAAUAUAUUUCACUCCAAAAAUACAAGUGAAAGUUUACAAAUAGGGAGAGAGAACAAUUGCCUUAAGUAGAGAAUGGCAAGUGUGGGAUGAAGAAAGUAAGAGAUGGUUAGGCCUAUUUAUAGUUGAGGUUUAAGGAUCAACUUGCAAUGUCCCUAUACAAUUAGGGACCAAAAUUGUAAUUAUCUCAUGCCAACUUUUAACCCAACUUGCCAACCAAUCUUACUUUCUACUUUCGGUGCCUUUCGGUGCCAACUUUCUGCCACUAUUCAUCUUUGAAAAGUCAAAGAUUGUAGGUAUCCAAUAUUAUAUAUACAAAGAUCAAUUUUUUACAGAAUGAUCAGCUUACUUUUGGAUUUAAUGUACAGGGACUAAUUUACUUAUUUUUAAGUAAAGAAACUCCUAAACCUCCAUAAUACGUUAAUAUAUUUGUUUAUUAAUUAAUUAUUAGUAUAUCCUAAUGACAUCACAAAAUUUUCAGAAAAAUGGCAAAUUGAACAAACAAAAUGUGUACUGAAAAGAUAUAUAUGAUUGAAUUAUUAUUACCCUGAUGGCCAAUGCUUUAUCAAUUAUGAGGGACAACUAAUCUUUUUAUUAAAUAAAAUAAAAUUUGACUAAAUAUAUUCAUAUUUUGCAAGCAAUUAUUGAUUUAAACAAAAAUAUUGAAUGCUAACUUCUUUUUUUCUUUUUAAUUUAAACAAGCUAUAAUUAUUUGAAUUGGAUGCUAGAUGACCACCUUUUUUCCAUUUUUAUUUUAUUUAUUUUAAUAACUUGCAAUGCUAACCAGAUAUGUCAACGCCGUUCAAGCUCAAAUGGAUUUGUUUGAUAGUAACUUCUAUCUCAGCUUUCCUCCUCACAAUUUUCUAUUCUUAAUUAUUAUUAUACUGGUAAGUUUAUAAAGAUGUUUGAAUAGUAAGCCUCCCACUGGCAACCCAAGUGGUCCCCUAUGAAUUCACUCUUUCCAGAGGAUUAUUCGGACAAUGGAUGACUUGAUUUUUUAUUGAGAAUAUGGAGUCGUUUAGUCACCAAACAUCACGUGAGCUCAACUAUUUUAUUCCAUUACAAUUAAAAUGAAUGAUAGGAUCCAUCAUGUCACAAACAUCUUUGUUCCAUUGAAAACAUUGCUCCCACAAGCUCCAUAAUAAUGACUAGAUGGUAAGUCCAACACAUUAACACCAUAUUGUAUGAUGCCCCACCUAUAAAUACCUAAAAAAGUUGAAGAAAGGAUAGACUUUUCAAGAAUGCCUAGCCUAUACUUGUUCUAUAUUCAAUCUGCAAACUCUCUCCACCUUUAAUUCUGGCUUUAAGCCCCAACCAAGUGAAUCAACCAUCUCAGUAAUCAUUCUCCUUUCCUCUGUACCCUUUCCUUGUUGAGCACUUUAUCAAUUAUUAUUUUUAUUUAGGGUUUUUGUUUCUAUGUUGGAUUGAAAAUAAUUUGAUGUAAAAAAGGAGAAAUUUUUUAUGGGAGAAGUCACAAAUAUAUAUGAUAUUGUUUCUAAUAGCUAUAGGUUUGAUAGGAUGGCUUAAUUAAGAAGAAUUUAAUUAUUUUAAAUUUGAUUUUUAAAAAAAUAUGUAUAUUCAUUUUAAAAAAUGUAUACAUUGAAUUUAAUAUAAUAUUUGUUUUAAUGCUACCGUGUUUAAUGUUCAAUGAUUAAUAGAUUAAAUGGUGAAAUCUUAUUAAUUAAAAAAGAUAAAUGGUAAAAUUUAAUGUUUAACAUUUAUAUCUUUUGUCAAUUUGAUUUUUAUUCUUUUUUUGAAUUAUAUUUGACCUUUAACUUUUUAAAAAGAGUCGAAUUAUUUUUUUAACAAAAAUGUUAACUAAAAUAUCAAUUUCUUAACGAUGUUAGUGUAGCAACACGCAUAAUAGUGCACGUGCACUUCAUGCUAACAUAACUCUUUUUAAAAGGUUAAAAGUCAAAUUUAGUUUAAAUAAAAGAACAAGAGUCAAUUUGACAAAAAAAUGUAAAUGUUGAUGCCUAAGUUUGACAUUAUACCAUUACAAAAAAUGAAAACUUUAAAAUUAUAUAUAAUUAUGUUUACCAUCUUAAUCAACUUUUUAUUGAAUGAUGAAUUUUAUAGUAUAUCAUAUUAAAUUAACAAUUUACAUCAGUUAGCAAACAAUGUUUUGACUAAACGACAAGGUUGAGGAUUCUAAAAAUUUUGAAGUCUUAGAUUCAAGUCUCACAUUAUGUAAAUGUAUGGAUUCUGGAAGUUAACUUGGGUUGAUCUCUAAAGUUUUUAUCGGUUUAUUAAUUCUUUAGUUCUAUUUAUAUGCAUUCCAUAAGUUUUGAAUGAAAUCAAAUCAAUUAGUGGAUCCAAUUUGAAUAUUUAAUCAUCUAUACAUAUAUUUCAAAGUUUAGGAGCAUUUUUGGUAGGUUGGAACUAAUCUAAUUUGAGUAGGUCCUUCUAAUUCUAACCCUUUUCCAAGCCCCAAACAUAAAUAAAUUAAAAAAAAAAGAAAAAAAGAGUAAUUUUUAGUCCUUUCUUAUUCAACAAUACAAAAGGAUACAUAACAAUAAUAAUGAUGAUAAUCAUCAUCAUCAUAUAUCAUGUUUUUUUUAACCAAGCAAAAGAAGGCAAAUGAAAACUAAGUGACCUUACUCUUUACUCAAUCUCAUUUACAAUGUGGUCCCUUUGCUUCUUUUACUUUAUUUUGAGUAGGUAAAAGGUACAUUAUAUAUAGCCUUUCAAAAUCAACCAACCAAUUGAACCAAGUCUAUCAAAGAUGGAAGGUCUUUAUACAUUUCUUUUCUGAAUUUGGAAUCACUUGACAUUUGUAAAGAAAAAACAAUGAUAUCCCUACUUCUUAACAUUCAACCCCAUCACUUUUUUUUUUUUGUGAUACUUGGCUUCCUAUCAUUGGAAAUUCCCCUUUUUGUGUCUGUUUUAAUGUAGAUAUUGUCCCCAUUAUAAGCAAGGUAUAAACACAUGAAUUUUUUUAUUUUUUAAAUGUUUUUAGAAGUGAAUAUAUAUAUAUAUAUAUAUAUAUAUAUUUUAUCUAUUAAUUUAUAAGUAUAUUAUCUUUAAGGAAUUUUAGAAAAAAAUCAUAUUUGGGUCAAAGUGUAAUUUGAACAUUAUUAAAUUAAAAUUUAAACAUCUCUUAAAGGGCUGUACAAAGAUUUUUCUAUUUUUGGAGAGCCAAAACUCUUGUUUACCCCUUCAAUUCAUCUCUGGUCGCACCAUUUAGAAUCGUGUUUGAUUUAUUUAUUUUUAUUAGCAAAGUGAUUAAUUAAAAUUAAUAUGGGUAUUUUUUUAUGAAAUAGUGUUUAUUUCUAAUUUGUAAUUUAAAAUAAUAAAUAUUAGAUAAAUAUAACAUUUUUACAUAUACAAUAAAUGAUGAUAAUAAAACUAUAGUCAAGUAGGAAGUGAUUAUGGUUUAUUAAAAAAUUAAACUUUAUUUAAAUAUGAUCUAUAUUUUUAUCAAUGAGAUCUUCACUAAACGCAAAUUUUAAGAUUUUAGAUUUUACAUUAUGUUAGUUUCUUAAUUUAGAUUUAUUUUAACUUAAAUCUAUAUUUAAAUAAUGUAGAAUGCAAAUAAAAGAAAUAUGAAGAGCAGAAGAAGUAACAUAAAAAAAAUAUAUAGUUGUUUGCGACCAUUAAAUUUAGGAGAAUACAAAUUGAAAUAAAACUGUAGAAUUGAACUACAGUGGAAGCCCCCGUAUUUAUUUUCCCAUUCAAACUAGUAAAAUGACAUGUUCAAAACAUAAGGGGGCUUUGUUCAACCAAAUCUAACUACGUCAAAGAAUGAAGAAGAAAACAAUAAGAUCAUAUGGCAAACACUAAAGCACAUCCACACACACACAAACAAUAAAAAUGGCAUUUGCUUCAGUCAAAGAAUUCCCAAGGGAACUUCGGCGGAGAGAUUGAAUUAUUGGCAGUCGAUGUAGAUGUCGAGGGGACCGGCACUAAUGCUGGGAAUGAAUCAAAUGUCUCCCAUUUUGUCGUUACUACCACCCCAUCCGCUGCCGACGAUUGUUGCUGUUGCUGAUUAUAGCGGCGUUCUUGGAUUGGGGCUACUUUUUGCCCAUUGGUAUGCUUGUCUUCAGAUUGCAUUUCCAUUUCACCUCCUCCAUUGUUGUUAGGCAUAGAGUUUUUAAUCUUCAACAUAUCCAAUGUUUCAACAUAUUUUUGAACCCUUCUCACCUUCAUCAACAUAUCCAAUGAUUUUGGGUUGCAAGUUUUUACGUUUUUUUUUUUUAAGAAAAAAAAUAGUAAUUCAGUACAUUCAUAAGUAUAAAUUUAUGUCAAAUCAAUUGAAAUGUAAAAUGAAAGGUAAAAGUAUAAUGGAAGUUUUUAUAUUAAAAGUAAGAUAGUAUUUUAUCUUCUCUAUUGAAAAAAUAGACAAAUUAAUCUAAAUACGUUAGAUCAAUGAGUAAAUUAAUCUUUCUAUUAAUUUUUUUUUUUCAUUUCUAGUGCUUAAAAUUGGUCUAUAAAAUACACGCAUCGCAUCAAUUUUUAAUAGUAAAAAUAGAUAAAUUUUUAAUAGAAAAGACAUCUAAUAUACAAAAAUUAAUUUUUUUUCAUUUUUGAGUUAAAAUAAAAUAAUUAUGUAUAGUAAAACUUUCAUAAUAUUUUUGCCUAAAAUGAAAUCAAGCGAAAUACAGGUAGUAUAGUAAAACUCGAAACUGAAUACAGAAAAACCUAAAGUUUUCGCCUAACCAACAAGCCGAUGCCUAAUCCGCUAGGUCGAGGGGUUUUAUAAAAUAAAAAAGAAAAAGAGAGAUUGGGAUAUCUUUUUUUAUAAUUUACCUGCAUUUUCCUUUGCAAUUUAACAUCACCAUCAGCCAUAAUCCCAUCUAAUUUAAGCAACUGGUUCAUCAACAGCUCAAUCAAAUUAACCACAUCUUUCUCAUUUACUUUCCCACCUUUUGAAAUAAUCGAUUCAUAUGCAGAAACCUACAAAAUAAUUUCCAUCAUAAAUCAAAACCCACAAAAAAAAAAAACACACACAACAUAAUCUCCCAAAAAAACAAAUUACCUGGCCAGCAAGCCUAUCAACUUCAAAGCUAAUUUCAGAUAUAGAUUUAGAAGCUUUCUCCAUUUUAGCAUUUUUCCUCAUCUCCAUUAAUCUCUUUUCUUGACUAAUUGGGUCUUCAAUUAAAACCAUUUUCGAUUUAUCUUUAACACCCACCAUAUCCAAAAACACAUUCGAAUCCCUCUCUUUAUCUUUGUAUAUUAGCUUUUGAUCUUUAUGGUGUAAUCCCGUUGGUCCCGUUAACAUUUUCUUUAAUUCCCCUGCAAAAAAACCAAAAAAAAAAAGUGUUGUUUUAUAAUUAAUUCACUGUAAUUAAUAAAAAAAACCAUUUUUAUGAUGAAAAAAAAAGUGCGAUUUUCUUUUACCGAAUGUAGCUUGAGAAUUGAUGUUGAUUUGAUGGUAAAUAGAGCCGUGUUUGACUUUAACUCUAAUAGUCGGCGCCGGUGGGAUCGUGAUUUGAUCGGAAUCUGGGUUUCGUUUUUGUACUAACAUACCUCCGGGUCUAAGUUCCCAUUCACGUGCAAUCGUUUUUGUUGCCGUCGGUUUAGUCUUCAUUCUCAUCAUUUUUUUAUACUAUACAACAACAACAACAAAAAAAAAAAAAAGAAACGAAGAAAAAAAUAUGUAUGGAGGGUAAGGUUUUAUAUCUCUAUAAAGAUUGAAAAUGAACGAUCUGUGUUUCAGAAAUCAUGGAGAAACGCAUUUUUCAGAGAAAGCGUAAGACUCACUGAGUCUGCUCGCAGCAUUACACGAGUCAAAUUCCUAGGUUCACGCGUGUAUUAUAUACAAAGAUAAAAGCUUUAAGGAAUAUAAAAAGAAACUGAACUGAAACUCGUCGUCUUCGUCUUCGUGUUGUUGUUUUUCACUCUCUCUCCAAUGGCGUCUUACCAAAGGCAAGAACAAAAAAAAGAAUCCUUUGAUUCUUUAGCUGUAAGAAAAAACCAGACCAAACUGAACUCCCCAGAUCGUUGACUAAAACAGAGCAAAAACCUUAACUCCAGAUCUCUACCAAGAGAAAUGUGUUUUAAGAAUCUGGGACUUUCGUUAAAGGAAAUAAAGUCCCGGAAAGUUUUCAAAUGUCAAAACGGUGGGGGAAGAAAAAUAUAAGCUAAGAGAAAAUAAAAUCUGGGGAAAACUGAUGGAAUAAAAGGAAAAAAAGAUUAAUAAAAAAAACCAGUGGACAGCUAACCAUGUAGAAGUUGUGUUUUUCUAGCUUAAGAAACUAUAUAUAGAGAGAGAGAUGAUUAUAUUAAUAUUUACAUUUUUUACAUACUUCUAUAUAAAUUAUACUCGAGUUAUUAAAUUAUCAGUAAGUUUAUGUUUAAGCACUAAAAUUCAGAAAGUUUUGUAAAAUUGUUAUUGAAUUAUUUGAGAUUUUUUAUUUAAAUCACUAGAUUGUUAAGCUUUUUUUUAAGUUCGAUUAGUAGGCUCCAAAUGAUUAUUUGACAAAUGGUAGGAUAGAUCGGUACUCAUCAACAAGUAGAAGAACAUACCUUAUAUCUAAGUCAAUCUAACGAUCAAUGUCGGAGACCGGAGAAUAAAGCUAUUUUGAUUUUGAUUUUUAGAUUCAUGGCUUUCAAAGUUUUUUCUUUAAAAAAAACACUAAACUGUAAAGAGAAGAGGUGUGGAGCUUUUGAUUGAUACAAGCGAUGUGAACUGAGAAUGUUAUACAACAACAAUUUUAAUAAUAUAGUAACUUAAAUGAAAACUUUUAAAAAGUUCAAUGACUAUUUUGUAACUUUUUAAAGUUAAGUAACCAAAACAUAAGCUUACUAAUAAUUUAGUGACAUUAUCUAAUUUUAAAAUAGAUUUCAUAUUUAUAUUAAAAAAUUUUGAUCUAUAUUUAAUAAUUAUUAUUUUAAAUAAAUAAAAAAUAUUUUUAUUUAUUCAACAUACAUUACUUUUACAAAUAUAUCGAAUUAAUAUAAUCAAAUCAAACAAUUAUAAAUUUGUGUAAAAAUAAUAAUAAAUGUGUGACAUUAGAUAAAUUUAACGUUUUGGCAAAAAAAGAAGAUAAGUUUUACAUUAACUGUUUAACUGAUCAUCUUAAAUUUAUAUAAUAAUAAUAAGUUCAUUAAAUAUGUAGUAAUAUUCUUCACUAAAAUUUAAAAUUAUUUUUCUUCUCAAACUUUUAAAUUAAUAUUAAAAACGAUUAUCUAAUUUAUGAGGAUACGUUAUAAUUGUAAAUUUAUAAGGAACUUUUCUUAUCUUCUUACUUUUGGCAACAUAAAAUAAAAAUUAUAUGUUAAUAGAUUUUUUUUAUUUGUAAAAAAAUUAUAAUAUAAUUAAAAAAUUCAUAAAAUAAUAAAAGUACUAAUCCACCGCUUAACUGCGUUAAAAAAUGUUCACCGAACUCUAUUGGGAGGUAAUAUUCUAGUGCGACACGGUUUACUAAUAUAAGUACGGGCUCAAAAUGCUGAUGAAUGGACACAUAUGAGUUGAGGGGUAUAUCGGUGAAUUCGUGAUAAAUCCAAUCAUUGAACUGAUAAUUAUGUAGGAUGGGAUGUUAGACACGUGCCAUUUAGGCGACGAUUCACGGACAAAGACAGCCACAUGCUUGUCCGUUUUUCAGGUAACUUCCUACACGUGUGGCCACUCACUAGAUUUACUGUGAGUAAUAAUUACUACUAAUUACUGCCAGAUCCAAUCAUGUCAACGAAAAAACAACUAAAUUACUAAAAAAAUAAACAUAAUAUAGGUGUCCUAAAAUAUUUUCCAAAUUCACUUUGAUGUUGAUUAAAAUUUUAAACACAUAUAUACUUAUACCAUAAAUAGUGUCUAUAAAUUUAAGGAGGUAUUUUUUUUCUUAACAUGUUAUAUUUAAUUUGUUUAUAUCAUAUAUUAAAAUAUGUUUACAAUUAUAUUUUGAUAAUUUUUUGACAAAAUUUUUAGACUGGGCUUUAUUAAGUAAAUGAAAUUAGAUUACAUAACAAAGGUCUAAAAGAGAAUAAACAGAAAAGAAAAGAAUUUGGUCCCGAAACUUAAAGUGGCCCAAAAAAGAAAAAAAAUAGCCUAGAUAUUAAUUCAGAAUAAUCUAGAAAGAUAAUAAAAGCACCAAACGAUUGCCCAAUCAGAAAUUACUGAUACCCAUCUUUUUGACGGUUUCAGUUCUCAGGGAAGCUUAUCCUUUCAAAAAGUGUUCAUUUACUUUGCUUAAGGCUUUCCUCUCUUUAUCCUCUUCUCCGGUCAUUUUUAGUCUGGUUCAAGCACCCAAUCAAUUUCCUUUUGAUUUUCGGCAUACCCAGGGACAUUCUUUACUAGGUACACCUCCUUUUCCUUUUUCAGAGUUUCUGUUGCCAGUAUAUGUGCUAAAGCAUUUGCUGAUCUCGGUGUAUGUUUGAACACAAUAUUUCUAGAUCUACCUGUUCUCUGUUGAAUAUCAUGUAUAUACACUCCUACUUGUGAUCGAUUUUGACUCUUAUUUUUACAUUUCUUGAUUAUUGUUAAAGAGUCGACUUCGAUUAUGAUCGUCGGCCCCUGCUUUUCGAUUCCUAUUUGGACUGCUUUUCGGCAUGCAAUCGCUUCAGCAGCAAAGGCGGAGGCCACCCCUUCAUGAAUUUUUGAGCAAGAUAAGAGAACUGUCCCGUCAUCAUUCCUGGCCAUGAUACCCGGAGUCGAUUGGUAAUGUCGCCCAUCAUACGCACCGUCAAAUUUGAUUUUAACGAACUCACUAGGUGGGUGACUCCAUCUUCUAAACUACUUCGAACUUACUAGAUUCUUUUUUUCAAUAUCGUUUUAUUCAGUAAUAUAAUUAUUUACGAAACUCGCUAUUUCCUGUCCAGUGCUAAUUUUCUUUUCAUGCAUUUUAGAAUUUCUUUCUCCCUAGAUGGCCCAAAGUGCACAACAAAAAAAACUGCAUUGACGAGGGGUAUACUAAUAACAAACCCAGGUAAGCCACUGUAAAAAAUCCAUAUUAGUAUCCAUGAGGAUAUUCUGGAUUGAUAAUGUUGUCCAAACUUCAACUGAAACUGGGCAUUCGCGAAAUAUAUGAUCGAUUGUUUCAGCUUUUCCUCUACGUUGGGGGCAGAUUGUAUUAUUGACUAGUUUCCUAUGCUGCAUAUUGACCUUUGUAGGCAAAUAGUUCCAUGAUAUUCUCCAGAUUGUAACUUUGAUUUUAGUAGGUAGAUUUAGCAGCCAAAGUUUUUUUGUAAAAGUUUCUGUUGGAUCGCCGGCACCCCUACGGCGCAGCGGAAAAAUUUAUUAAUCGGCGACCCUAACCACGGAUCCAUGUGUGAGGAACGAAUCUAACCACGGAUCCAUGUGUGAGGAACGAAUUGGGGUGAAAAGGGUUACGAAAUUACCUAAUGCUGUUCUGAGUAGACAGCAACUUGUCAACAACGUGUAAUUUGAUCUACAGUCGAACUAAGCCGCAAUCUAUCGAGACUCCGACUCUACGUGAUCCACCCAGUUGACUACGAACGUAAGAAAUCCCCAAAAUAGUUUUGAGAGUGAAAUUUCUUUGACGGCUGCUAGACUAAAACAAAGAAAAACGGGAUACUUAUAUCCUUAUUAUUUAUUUUUUAGGGUUUUUAUUUAUGAAUUAAAAUAAAUAUAAUAAUAUUUUAAACUGAAAAUUAUAAUUACAUUAAUUAUAUUAUAAUUUCGGUAAACCAUAUAUUUAUUUGAAUUCAUAUGCUAACCUCAUUAUGUGUACAACAACCUUGUACAUAAUGUGUUGGAAAUCGAAUUAAAUUAAUUCUAUAAUUAAUUUAAUUCAAGUGACACCUAAAAACAAUACCAACUAUGGUUUAUUCCGUUCAUUUUAAUUAUAAGGUGUGACCCUGUAGGUUCUUG
rnacentral:lncRNA from 1 species